rnacentral:rRNA from 1 species
AACUAAUUGAGUUUGAUGAUGGCUCUGAAUGAACGCUAUCUCAAGUGCUUGACACAUGCUAAUCUAACGUCUAAUUUAAAUAUUAACAAAAGAAUAUUAUAUCUUUUAUAUAAUUUACACUAAUAUAUUUUAUAUAUCUUUUGAGAGGAUUUUUUUAUUAGAAGUGGUGUACAGGUGAGUAAAGGAUAUUUUGGCUACCUUAAAGUGAGGUUAAUAAAUGCCUUAUAUUUAUAUCUGGAAGAGGGUGAUCUUAUAAUAUAUAACUAGAUGUUUUCCUUAGCGGAAACCUUCGGUGUGUGCCCUAUCAAUAGGAGGCAAGGGCAGCCUAAGGUUUCUUUCUCAAGGAUGGUUGAAAAAAUAAAAUAAUUUUACCGCCGGCCAGUACUUUAAAGGAAAUAACGAAUAUUACACAGCAGAGGGGGGGUGGAGGCAAAGAGCUUCUUUUUACCCCCUCGGUCAAUAAGGCCGAGGGGGGGGGGGCUGUUUUAUUUUUUUCCGCUUUAAGAGGACAAUUAAUAUUUCGGAUAGGUAGUAGUUAAAGUAAUGGUUUUACUAGCUUAUAAUUCCGUAAUCGUAACUGAGAGGUUUAUCGAUCACAUUGGGUCUGAAAAAACCCCAAUACGUAUAGUACAGCAGUGGGGAAUAUUGGUCAAUAGCCUAACGGCUGAACCAGCAACUUGGGAGUAUGUAUAGCUUUUUACUAAGCUAAUAUCACUAGAAAUGGUUGUGUAUAAACCAUUUAUGAGGUAGAGAGAAAUGACUCUACAAGACUAGAGGUGCAAAUCAGCCUUCUAAUUAGCUGUUCCUAAUAAGGCUCCAGCUAACCAGGGGUACAUGGUUUGUUUUACCAUGAGCUAAAGAUUUAGGUUUUUACCUAGAUCUGUUUUAGAAAAAAUAUCUUUUGCUAAGCGUAAGGCAAUAAGCGUUUUUUUCUUAGCUCUUGGUUAUUAAAACUUUUCUGGGUGUUUACAAGAAUUUAAUAUAGUCGUUGCCUACUAAGACUAAUAUUUUUUUUAAACUUUACUUUGAUAUAUCGAUUUACUCGAAUAAAAUACUAGGUAGGCCUAAUAUCUUUAUGUAAAGUGUAAAGAUUUCUCUAAUAUAGGAAUUAGAAUUGAUUAUGACAUAGGCCUAUCUACAAGUCUUGACCAAAAUACGUGCCAGCAGUCGCGGUAAGACGUAAAAGACAAGUGUUAUUCAUCUUUACCAGGUUUAAAGGGUACCUAGACGGUAAAAAUCGUCUUUUAUAAGAUACGAUUAUACUAGAGUUAUAUAUAAGGAGGUGAGUAUUUAUGGAGUGCGAGAGUUGAAAUUUGUUCAUACCAUAAGGACUGGUAAAGGCGAAAGCAACCUUUUAUGUAAUAACUGACGUUGAGGGACGAAGGCUCGGGUAGCGAACAGGAUUAGAUACCCUGGUAGUCCAAGCAGAAAAUUAUGAAUGCUAUAGGUUAGAUUUUUAUUUAGUCUAUAAAUUAAAAUGUAAGCAUUCCACCUCAAGAGUAAUGUGGCAACGCAGGAACUGAAAUCAUUAGACCGUUUACUGAAACCAGUAGUGAAGUAUGUGAUUUAAUUCGUAGGUACGCGAAAAACCUUACCACAACUUGAAUAUUAUCUAUCAGGAUAUUACAAGCGUUGCACGGCUGUCUUCAGUUAAUGUCGUGAGAUGCCGGUUAACUCCUUUAAAUUAACGGAAACCCUUGCUUUAAUUAUGAAAAGAAAUAAAGCAGUUCACCAUCUAAAUCGGAUAUGAUCACAGGGGGCAAGACAAGUCAUCAUGGCCUAAAUGUUGUGGGCAAUAGACGUGCCACAUAUUCCUAUACAAAAUGAUGCGAUAAUGCGAAUUGGAGCUAAUCAUCUAAAGUAGGAUAUAAUAAGGAUUGUAGUCUGAAACUCGACUAUAUGAAUAAGGAAUUACUAGUAAUCGUGAAUAAGAACGUCACGGUGGAUUUAAUCUCAUUUGGGUACUAACUACUCGUCAGGCGCUGAAAUAAGUGUGUGCAAUAAGUUUGGUUUUUUUUAUAUUUUUUAUUCUAGAUAAUUAGUUCUAGUUAUCUAUAAGGAAAAUCUUCGUAUGCGUGACUUUAAUUAGUGUUAAGUCGAAAUAUGGUUCGUGUAGUGGAAGUUGCACGGGAUUUAUUA